GGCGAACGCUGGCGGCGUGCUUAACACAUGCAAGUCGAACGGAAAGGCCCUGCUUUUGUGGGGUGCUCGAGUGGCGAACGCGUGAGUAACACGUGAGUAACCUGCCCUUGACUUUGGGAUAACUUCAGGAAACUGGGGCUAAUACCGGAUAGGAGCUCCUGCUGCAUGGUGGGGGUUGGAAAGUUUCGGCGGUUGGGGAUGGACUCGCGGCUUAUCAGCUUGUUGGUGGGGUAGUGGCUUACCAAGGCUUUGACGGGUAGCCGGCCUGAGAGGGUGACCGGCCACAUUGGGACUGAGAUACGGCCCAGACUCCUACGGGAGGCAGCAGUGGGGAAUAUUGCACAAUGGGCGGAAGCCUGAUGCAGCAACGCCGCGUGCGGGAUGACGGCCUUCGGGUUGUAAACCGCUUUCGCCUGUGACGAAGCGUGAGUGACGGUAAUGGGUAAAGAAGCACCGGCUAACUACGUG
rnacentral:rRNA from 1 species